GCGUUGUCCGGAAUCAUUGGGCGUAAAGAGCGUGUAGGCGGCUCGAUAAGUCUGCUGUGAAAGUCCAGGGCUCAACCCUGGAAGGCCGGUGGAAACUGUCGGGCUAGAGUCCGGAAGAGGCGAGUGGAAUUCCCGGUGUAGCGGUGAAAUGCGCAGAUAUCGGGAGGAACACCAAUGGCGAAGGCAGCUCGCUGGGACGGUACUGACGCUGAGACGCGAAAGCGUGGGGAGCAAACAGG
rnacentral:rRNA from 1 species